rnacentral:pre_miRNA from 1 species
AUGGCCACCUCGUGGGAGUCUCAUUAAAAUGCAGAUUCUGAUGGAAUAUUCUGUAGUGGUUCUAACUGAAUGUGGGACCAGGCCUGAGAUUCUACAUUUGUCACAAGCCCCCAAGAGUGGCUACU